GUCGAAUUACACGAUUUUGGAAUUGGGUUUUGAAAUUUACUCCUAAUGGAGUGGCGGAGAGUUCCAUUCUUGAAUUUUUCUCUGUGAAUCUUGGCUGAUUUACCCACUUUUUGGGGACUGGGUUUUGUUUUUGCUUGUGAAAGGUUGAAACUUUAGAUGAUCUUGCAACCUGAGAGUCAAAAAAUGAGGAAUAGGGGAGAAAAGGAAGACCUAGAGGGUAAAUUGCCUGUGUCAGUAACAAGAGAUUCAUCAGUUAGUCUUUUAAGGGUGUUGGCAACUUUGAUUGUAUUUGUAAUUGGAGUAGUUAUUGGAUUGACUUCAAGUUCACAUAUUGAUAGGUACUUUACCUUU
rnacentral:misc_RNA from 1 species